rnacentral:misc_RNA from 1 species
AAACUGCAACUCCGGUCUUCAGAAGAGCUGCAGAUAGACCAAGGGAUCCGGCUAGGUGGAGUGAGAUUGCUGUUGUUGUAUCUGCAUUAUCUGUUCCAGUCAUUGCUAAUGGAGAUGUAUUUGAUUAUGGUGAUUUUGAACGAAUUGAAGUUGCAACAGGUGCAUCAUCGGUGAUUGUUGCAAGAGGAGCUCUAUUGAAUGCUUCUGUUUUCUCUCCUGAUGGCAAAGGGUACUGGGAAGAGGUCAAGGGAGAUUGUGUCAAAAAGAGUAUCU